GCCAUCGCUCAACGGAUAAAAGGUACUCCGGGGAUAACAGGCUGAUACCGCCCAAGAGUUCAUAUCGACGGCGGUGUUUGGCACCUCGAUGUCGGCUCAUCACAUCCUGGGGCUGAAGUAGGUCCCAAGGGUAUGGCUGUUCGCCAUUUAAAGUGGUACGCGAGCUGGGUUUAGAACGUCGUGAGACAGUUCGGUCCCUAUCUGCCGUGGGCGCUGGAGAACUGAGGGGGGCUGCUCCUAGUACGAGAGGACCGGAGUGGACGCAUCACUGGUGUUCGGGUUGUCAUGCCAAUGGCACUGCCCGGUAGCUAAAUGCGGAAGAGAUAAGUGCUGAAAGCAUCUAAGCACGAAACUUGCCCCGAGAUGAGUUCUCCCUGACUCCUUGAGAGUCCUGAAGGAACGUUGAAGACGACGACGUUGAUAGGCCGGGUGUGUAAGCGCAGCGAUGCGUUGAGCUAACCGGUACUAAUGAACCGUGAGGCUUAACCUUACAACGCCGAAGCUGUU
rnacentral:rRNA from 1 species